rnacentral:rRNA from 1 species
UACGUAGGGUGCAGGCGUUAAUCGGAAUUACUGGGCGUAAAGCGCGCGUAGGCGGCUUUGCAAGUCGGGUGUGAAAUCCCCAAGCUUAACCUGGGAACUGCAUUCGAGACUGCAUUGCUAGAGUAUGGGAGAGGGAAGUGGAAUUUCCGGUGUAGCGGUGAAAUGCGUAGAUAUCGGAAGGAACAUCAGUGGCGAAAGCGACUUCCUGGACCAAUACUGACGCUCAUGUGCGAAAGCGUGGGGAGCAAACAGG